rfam:Otolemur garnettii contig060062, whole genome shotgun sequence.
GUUAGCUCUUCUGGUAUCUUUGGUGUCUAGGUGAGCUCUUGAUUCACUUGAGGCUUUGAAAUAUGCA